CCUACGGGAGGCAGCAGUGGGGGAUAUUGCACAAUGGGGGAAACCCUGAUGCAGCGACGCCGCGUGUGGGAAGACGGUCUUCUGGAUUGUAAACCACUGUCCCCAGGGACGAAAAUGACGGUACUUGGGGAGGAAGCUCCGGCUAACUACGUGCCAGCAGCCGCGGUAAUACGUCGGGUGCAAGCGUUGUCCGGAAUCAUUGGGCGUAAAGAGUUCGUAGGUGGCAUAUUAAGUCUGGUGUUAAAUGCAGAAGCUCAACUUCUGUUCUGCACUGGAUACUGGUAAGCUUGAAUGCGGUAGAGGUAAAGGGAAUUCCUGGUGUAGCGGUGAAAUGCGUAGAUAUCAGGAGGAACAUCGGUGGCGUAAGCGCUUUACUGGGCCGUAAUUGACACUGAGGAACGAAAGCCGGGGUAGCAAAUGGGAUUAGAUACCCCUGUAGUC
rnacentral:rRNA from 1 species